rnacentral:misc_RNA from 1 species
CAGUUUCUCCCCCAUCUCCUGGGCAUGGUCAAAUUUCGCCAUCUGAUCCUUGAUCAUUCAUUCCCUGACUUUCUUCGUCCUGUUGAUCUUCAAAUCCAUCACCAAGAACCUAUAUUGAGUGGUGAGAUUCUUACUCGCAGUCUUCCCAGCGACUUCUACCACCCUUCCAAAUGAGCAGAUAAUCCAUCCACACUACAGAAG